GGCAACUUGGCCGAGCGGUCUAAGGCGCCAGACUCAAGAUAACGGUUCGUUCAAGAGCCCGCGUCUUCCCUGGGUACCAGGGAGCAUUCUGGUCUCGAAAGAGGCGUGAGUUCGAAUCUCACAGUUGUCA
rnacentral:tRNA from 1 species